ensembl:misc_RNA 7SK 7SK RNA
GGAUGUGAGGGUGACCUGGCUGUGACAUCUGUCACUUUAUUGAUUGUGAGGGUUGAUUCGGCUGAUCUGACUGGCUGGGUGGGUGUGCCCUUCCACCCUCAACACUCCAUGCGAGUCCCUCCCGAAACUGCGCAGUAGGUGGAAAAAGACAACCUUCCCCGAUAGAGGAGAACCAUAUUUCAAUCAAGGGUAAACAAGUAGCUGUGACACCCUGGUAGAAGCUUCAGUCAAUGUCUCAAGAUCCAUUUGUAAGAGAACGUAGGGUCAUCAAGCUUCCAAGGCUUCAGACACAUCUUUAAAAAAAGAAAGGAAUAA